GACGAACGCUGGCGGCGUGCUUAACACAUGCAAGUCGAACGGAAAGGCCCUGCUUUUGUGGGGUGCUCGAGUGGCGAACGGGUGAGUAACACGUGAGUAACCUGCCCUUGACUUUGGGAUAACUUCAGGAAACUGGGGCUAAUACCGGAUAGGAGCUCCUGCUGCAUGGUGGGGGUUGGAAAGUUUCGGCGGUUGGGGAUGGACUCGCGGCUUAUCAGCUUGUUGGUGGGGUAGUGGCUUACCAAGGCUUUGACGGGUAGCCGGCCUGAGAGGGUGACCGGCCACACUGGGACUGAGAUACGGCCCAGACUCCUCCGGGAGGCAGCAGUGGGGAAUAUUGCACAAUGGGCGGAAGCCUGAUGCAGCAACGCCGCGUGCGGGAUGACGGCCUUCGGGUUGUAAACCGCUUUCGCCUGUGACGAAGCGUGAGUGACGGUAAUGGGUAAAGAAGCACCGGCUAACUACGUG
rnacentral:rRNA from 1 species